rnacentral:rRNA from 1 species
UAACGCGUAUGCAACCUGCCCGUUUCAGCGGGAUAACCCGGAGAAAUCCGGCCUAAUACCGCAUGUGGCCGAGGGGAGGCAUCUUCUUUCGGCCAAAGGAGGCGACUCCGGAGACGGAUGGGCAUGCGUGACAUUAGCUUGUUGGCGGGGUAACGGCCCACCAAGGCGACGAUGUCUAGGGGUUCUGAGAGGAAGGUCCCCCACACUGGUACUGAGACACGGACCAGACUCCUACGGGAGGCAGCAGUGAGGAAUAUUGGUCAAUGGGCGAGAGCCUGAACCAGCCAAGUCGCGUGAAGGAUGACGGCCCUACGGGUUGUAAACUUCUUUUGUCAGGGAGCAAUUGGGUCCACGUGUGGGCUUAGCGAGAGUACCUGAAGAAAAAGCAUCGGCUAACUCCGUGCCAGCAGCCGCGGUAAUACGGAGGAUGCGAGCGUUAUCCGGAUUUAUUGGGUUUAAAGGGUGCGUAGGCGGAAUAUCAAGUCAGCGGUAAAAAUUCGGGGCUCAACCCCGUCGUGCCGUUGAAACUGAUGUUCUUGAGUGGGCGAGAAGUAUGCGGAAUGCGUGGUGUAGCGGUGAGAUGCAUAGAUAUCACGCAGAACUCCGAUUGCGAAGGCAGCAUACCGGCGCCCAACUGACGCUGAAGCACGAAAGCGUGGGUAUCGAACAGGAUUAGAUACCCUGGUAGUCCACGCAGUAAACGAUGAAUGAUAGUUGUCCGGA